AACGAACGCUGGCGGCGUGCUUAACACAUGCAAGUCGAACGCGAAAGGGACUUCGGUCCUGAGUAAAGUGGCGCACGGGUGAGUAACGCGUAGAUAACCUAUCUUCACGUCUGGAAUAAUACGCCGAAAGGGGUACUAAUACCGGAUAUUCUUGCUUUUCAUAAGUUUUGCAAGGAAAGGUGGCCUCUGUAUAUGCUACUGCGGGAAGAGGGGUCUGCGUACCAUUAGGUAGUAGGUGGGGUAAUGGCCUACCUAGGCUACGAUGGUUAGCGGGUCGGAGAGGAUGAUCCGCCACACUGGCACUGGAACACGGGCCAGGCGCCUACGGGAGGCAGCAGUGAGGAAUAUUGCGCAAUGGGGGAAACCCUGACGCAGCGACGCCGCGUGAGUGAGGAAGGCCUUCGGGUCGUAAAGCUCUGUCAAAGGGAAAGAAGUGCAUGAUGGCUAAUACCUGUCAUGUUUGACGGUACCCUUAAAGGAAGCACCGGCUAACUCCGUGCCAGCAGCCGCCGUAAAAC
rnacentral:rRNA from 1 species